rnacentral:lncRNA from 1 species
CUGAUCUUGACUGCUGUGAAAGGUUCUCAGACCUGAAAUGUGGAAAAUAUCAAAAAGCCUCCUUGGCUCAUUUCAGGAUGAAGGUCACAUCCAUAUUAAUUGCCCUGAUAAUGAAACCUUCCUGGAGGCCACCUGUCAGAACAUCUGGAGCUCUUGUUGUUACUGCUUCCAACAAGGCCCAUUUCCAUCCCUACGCUGACUUCAAAGACCCAUCUUCAAGGUUGAUGGCUUAUCUGAAAAUCGUGCUGCUAAGAAUGAGAAGUGUGGUUAAUGUCUGACUUCCUACAGGAUUAAGAAAAACACCUGGGAAAAAAUAUCAGCAAUACAGGUUUGUUAAAACUGAACAUGUGGCUGGUCGCGGUGGCUCACGCCUGUAAUCCCAACACUGGGAGGCCGAGGUGGAUGGAUCACGAGGUCAGAAGAUCAAGACCAUCCUGGCUAACACGGUGAAACCCCAUUUCUACUAAAAAUACAAAAAAUUA